UACAGAGGGUGCGAGCGUUAAUCGGAAUUACUGGGCGUAAAGCGCACGUAGGCGGCUUGGUAUGUCGGGUGUGAAAUCCCCGGGCUCAACCUGGGAACUGCAUUUGUGACUGCAUAGCUAGAGUGCGGCAGAGGGAGAUGGAAUUCCGCGUGUAGCAGUGAAAUGCGUAGAUAUCGAGAGGAACACCUGUGGCGAAAGCGAAUCUCUGGACAGUUCCUGACGCUGAGGCUCGAAGGCUAGGGUAGCGAAAGGG
rnacentral:rRNA from 1 species